rnacentral:rRNA from 1 species
GACGAACGCUGGCGGCGUGCUUAACACAUGCAAGUCGAACGGAAAGGCCCUGCUUUUGUGGGGUGCUCGAGUGGCGAACGGGUGAGUAACACGUGAGUAACCUGCCCUUGACUUUGGGAUAACUUCAGGAAACUGGGGCUAAUACCGGAUAGGAGCUCCUGCUGCAUGGUGGGGGUUGGAAAGUUUCGGCGGUUGUGGAUGGACUCGCGGCUUAUCAGCUUGUUGGUGGGGUAGUGGCUUACCAAGGCUUUGACGGGUAGCCGGCCUGAGAGGGUGACCGGCGACAUUGGGACUGAGAUACGGACCAGACUCCUACGGGAGGCAGCAGUGGGGAAUAUUGCACAAUGGGCGGAAGCCUGAUGCAGCAGCGCCGCGUGCGGGAUGACGGCCUUCGGGUUGUAAACCGCUUUCGCCUGUGACGAAGCGUGAGUGACGGUAAUGGGUAAAGAAGCACCGGCUAACUACGUG